AGAGUUUGAUCCUGGCUCAGGAUGAACGCUGGCGGCGUGCCUAACACAUGCAAGUCGAACGGAGAAUGUAGCAAUACGUUCUUAGUGGCGAACGGGUGAGUAACGCGUUGGUGACCUGCCCCGAAGCGGGGGAUAACAGUCCGAAAGGAUUGCUAAUACCCCAUGUGGUCAUUGGGAUUAGAUGCCCGAUGAUUAAAGGUGUAAACCACUUCGGGAGGGGCCUGCGUCCCAUCAGCUAUUUGGUAGGGUAAUGGCCUACCAAGGAUUCGACGGGUAGGGGACCUGAGAGGGUGACCCCCCACAAUGGAACUGAAACACGGUCCAUACACCUACGGGUGGCAGCAGUGAGGAAUAUUGGUUAAUGGGCGAAAGCCCGAACCAGCAACGCCGCGUGUGCGAUGAAGGCCUUCGGGUUGUAAAGCACUUUUGGAGGGGAAGAGAAGGGACGGUACCCUCCGAAUAAGCCUCGGCUAACUACGUGCCAGCAGCCGCGGUAACACGUAGGAGGCGAGCGUUAUCCGGAUUUACUGGGUGUAAAGCGCGUGCAGGCGGUUCGGUAAGUUGGAUGUGAAAGCUCCUGGCUUAACUGGGAGAGGUCGUUCAAUACUACCAGACUAGAGGAUGGGAGAGGGAGGUGGAAUUCCGGGUGUAGUGGUGAAAUGCGUAGAUAUCCGGAGGAACACCAGUGGCGAAAGCGGCCUCCUGGCCCAUUUCUGACGCUCAGACGCGAAAGCUAGGGUAGCAAACGGGAUUAGAGACCCCGGUAGUCCUAGCUGUAAACGAUGUGAACUAGGCGUCGGCGGGUUUAAAUCCGUCGGUGCCGAAGCUAACGCGAUAAGUCACCGCCUGG
rnacentral:rRNA from 1 species